rnacentral:rRNA from 1 species
AGAGUUUGAUCAUGGCUCAGAACGAACGCUGGCGGCGUGGAUUAGGCAUGCAAGUCGAACGAUCCCGCAAGGGAUAGUGGCGAAAGGGUGCGUAACACGUGGGCAAUCUGCCCCCGAAACGGGAAUAACUUCGGGAAACCGAAGCUAAUACCUGAUGACACCGAGCUGCCGCAUGGUGGCACGGUGAAGGGCGUCCGCAAGGGUGCCGAUCGGGGAUGAGCACGCGGCCUAUCAGCUAGUUGGUGAGGUAACGGCCCACCAAGGCGAUGACGGGUAGCCGGCCUGAGAGGGUGGUCGGCCACAUUGGGACUGAGACACUGCCCAGACUCCUACGGGAGGCUGCAGUCGAGGAUCUUCCGCAAUGGGGGAAACCCUGACGGAGCGACGCCGCGUGGAGGAUGAAGGCCUUCGGGUCGUAAACUCCUGUCAGUCUGGAAGAAAAUCUGCAGCAAUGUGGAUUGACCGUACAGGCAGAGGAAGCUCCGGCUAACUCCGUGCCAGCAGCCGCGGUAAUACGGAGGGAGCGAGCGUUGUUCGGAAUCAUUGGGCGUAAAGGGCAUGUAGGCGGCUCUGUAAGUCGGGUGUGAAAUCCCAUCUCUCAAGGGUGGAACGGCAUUCGAAACUGCAGGGCUUGAGUUCGGGGGAAGAGAGCGGAAUUCUCGGUGUAGCGGUGAUAUGCGUAGAUAUCGAGAAGAACACCAGCGGCGUAAGCGGCUCUCUAUCCUGAAACUGACGCUGAGGUGCGAAAGCCAGGGGAGCGAACGGGAUUAGAUACCCCGGUAGUCCUGGCCAUAAACGAUGUGCACUUGGUGUUGGGCCGCGAGGCUCAGUGCCGAAGCUAACGCAUUAAGUGCACCGCCUGGGGAGUACGACCGCAAGGUUGAAACUCAAAUGAAUUGACGG